GUCGGGUGCAGUGGCAUGUGCCUGUCGUCUCGGCUACUCAGAACACUGAGGCAGGAGGAUCGCUUGAGCCCAGAAGUUCUGGGCUGUAGUGUGCUAUGUCAGUUGGAUUUCCGUACUAAGUUUGGCAUCAAUAUGGUGACCUCCUGGGAGCAAGAGACCAUCAGGUUACCUAAGGAAGGGUAAACCGGCUCAGGUCAGAAAUGGAGCAGGUCAGAACUCCCCUGCUGAUCAGUAGUGGGAUUGCGCCUGUGAAUAGCCCCUGCACUCCAGCCUGGGCAACAUAGUGAGACUGUGUCUCU
rnacentral:SRP_RNA from 1 species